GUAAGUAUCUUUGAAACGGAUUUUUCUUUUUCUUACGGAAUAUUCUAUACGCUUAAUUUAAGAAAUGAUUAACAGUGAAGACCUCGGUAAGCAUUUUUGUAGAUUUUUUGAGAGCUUACAAUGGGAAGAGGAUUAGGCGUCAGCAUAACCGAUUCAGAAAAUACGCUUGUUCACGAAGGGUUCGUGAAAGAGAAGAAAAUGGAUAAUCGACAAGGGAGCUGUAACAUUCUGGGAAAAUAAUCGCCAGAGAACUGACAGUCGCAACGAUACGAACACGUAGCAUCGUGAUCAUAGCCAAAUCCGUUUCUCCUAUUACGACACACGCCAUUACGCUCUUGACGUAUUAAACGUUCCAUUUAACUGAGGUCUAAGCCCUAGCGAAGCUUAUGCAACAUGUUUGCAAUUGAAUCCCAGCGGCAUUACGUAAAUACUGGCGUGUACCGUGGUGAAGAUUUCUGUUCG
rnacentral:misc_RNA from 1 species